UACGGAGGGGCUAGCGUUGUUCGGAAUUACUGGGCGUAAAGCGCACGUAGGCGGCUUUGUAAGUUAGAGGUGAAAGCCUGGGGCUCAACUCCAGAAUUGCCUUUAAGACUGCAUCGCUUGAACGUCGGAGAGGUGAGUGGAAUUCCGAGUGUAGAGGUGAAAUUCGUAGAUAUUCGGAAGAACACCAGUGGCGAAGGCGGCUCACUGGACGACUGUUGACGCUGAGGUGCAAAAGCGUGGGGAGCAAACAGG
rnacentral:rRNA from 1 species